AGCCAGCCUAUCCCGACGGGGAGAAAGGUGGAGUCAUUACCCGCUUGGCUGGCUUUCCCUCAGUAAUG
rnacentral:sRNA from 12 species